UGAUUUACACAGUGACAGUCAUGGC
rnacentral:piRNA from 1 species